CAGCAAGCCUCCUCUUGGUGGAGGAUUGGAGCUGCUCUAAUUUUCCGUAAUUACCAACAAGAGUGUGCACUCAGCAGAAACCAGUGGGCCUUUGCAAGCUGCCCAGGGGCGGACAAAUGAGUCUCCCAGGUCUCAUCCUCCAACGCCUUCUCCCAGGAUGAGCGAGCACGCUUCAGCGAACACCUCUCUCCCCAAGCCCAAGAGGGAGGUGCAGACAGGAGUCUUGUGAGACAGGGCCCCCCUCCUGGAUCACGCCCCCGGAUCACAGCACCGACACGGGGCCUACAGCAUUCCGGACACGAUCAAGGCCACGCACCCCGCUUGUCCGGCCUUUUCAUCUCUCUUGGUCUGGCAGAGGAUCGGUGACAGCUGUGAAGAGUCUGGGCCGGUUUUCUUGAAGAGGAUCUCACAAUCAAAUUGGCUGGACAGUUUCUUCACGGUCAGACCCAGGCUGAACUUUGGGGCCAGAGUACGGCCUCAGUGGCACUGGGUCCUCUGGGCUCUUCAUGGCCAGGUGCCCGAGGCCUGAGGCUCUCGCUGGUGAUGGUGCUGAGACUGAUCACCAGCUUCAGAUGAGGCUCACCAGUAUUCUGUUUCCAGAUGGAAAAGAGCCUCUCCCCUUAAGCUUAUUGUGACUGGAAACAAUUUUGUGAAUUACCACCUUUGUAAACAGAGUUGAAGCAUUGAUCUCUUCUCUCUACCUGAUCCCUUCAGCAUUAGGAAACUCGCAAGUGUCCAGCAGCCUUUCCGGGUGAACAGGAAGGCCACUUCCUGGCAGGCACAGCAACCUCAAAACUCUCUGGACCUCGAGAAGACAGGAGUCCACACAAACCUGUAGGUGCUGCUGGCAGAGUCUGGUGGCAAAGCUUUCCUGGCCACGGGAGGCCUUUGAGAAGUCCAAUUUGAGAUUCUUUAUGAGUUAGUUUCAACACAGCCAAAUUUGAAAGUGCCCAUAACCUCAAAGAGGGCUUCCCUGGUGGAUUCUUUACCACUGAGCCACCAGGGGAGCCCCCGUGGAAUAUUACUCAGCCAUAAAAAUGAACUUCUGCCAUUUUUCAGCAAUGUGGAGUAACUUAGAGAAUCUUAUGGUUAAUGAAAUAAGUCAGACAAAGAAAGACAAAUAGUCUAUGGCAUCAUCUUUAUGUGGGACCUAAAAAUACAGCAAAUGAGUGUACAUCACAAAACAGAAACAGACUCACAGAUAUAAGGAACAAAUUAGUGGUUAUCAGUGGGAAGAGGCGAGAUAGAAGCAUGGGGUUCAGAGGCACAGACUGCUGAGAAUGCAGUGAAUCACCAGGGUCUCCCCGGUAGUCCAGUAGUCGAGGCUCCGUGCGGCUCACGCAGGGCACCCAGGCUGGGCCCUGGUCAGGGAGCUGAGAAUCCACUAACAGUACAGUGUGGCAAAGAAAAAAGUGGAAAGCAGAUAACCAACAGGGAUAUACUGUCCAGCGCAGGGAAAUACAAGCACUAUUUUUGAUCACUGUGAGUGGAGUAUAAUCUAUAGAAAUGAUGAAUCACUAUGCUGCCUACCUGAAACUAAUAUAAUAUUGCAAAUCAACUAACCCUCAGUAAAAAAGAGAGCCUGUGUGUUCAAUUAACUGUAGGUAAAUAAUCAGGCCACGUUUCUUGAAACCAGACUUAUUUUUUGCAAACAGUCUUAAUCUGCCUACACUUGAUGGAAAUAAGGAUGAUUUUAGAGACAAGACAUGUUUCAACAGAAUACCUUUGUGGAUGCUAAGUUCUGGUGCUAUUGUCUUUGAGGCUUGCUAUUUUCUGCUUAAAACUCAUUUCCUAAAUGACUCCUUGCUACUGUGUCACAGAAUUGUAAAGUUUAAGUAAAUUAUUAAAAGGAUGUUCUAAGCUGCUUUCUGAGGCUGAUUAACUUUGGAUGAAGGUCAGACACCCUAUGCCCCACACCCAGGAGAUUGUGUAG
ensembl:lncRNA